UCGGCAACAAGUGGCGCAGAGGUCCAGGUUCGAACCUGCAAUAAACGACCCUUGCUGCUUGGCUUUGACUCACAUCUCUGGUGGACUUUUAAGGGAGGGUCCCUGGCUCUAUUUAGAGCUUAAGGUCUGUGGCCCUGUAAAGGUCAAGAACCACUGCCGACAGAAGCAGCAGGCAGGGGCGGUGGGAGGAGUGAGGUACUGGCACAUCAUGCAAACACUCAAGGUGACCGAUGGAGAGGACCUCGUGCCGUGGAGCCGGAGCGGCCCUGUGCUGGGAGAUUCUUGCAGAAGAGAGAAGUCCCUCCUCAGAGUCCUUACCACAGGGCACCCUCUAGAGAGUCCAGAAGAGUUCGGCUACAGGGGCCAGGAUCUCCCACUGGACCCAAGAUUCGAGGGAAAUCAUGCAUCAAAAAAUAAGUUGAAGAGCAUGGCCAUCUUUCCAGCACUGGAUCAACCUUCUCUCUCUCUCUCUCUCUGGUAAUUUUCAAUUCUCUGCAGAGCUGCCCAAGAAAAGUCUUUGUUGUUGGCCCCAUCUCUCCAUCCCUUCUUACGUUCAACAAGCUUGCUCCACAAGCCCAUUGCAUAUUGGUUCCCAAAGAGUCCCUCAGUUUCCAAAACCACCUCUCCCACAAACAGAAUUUCCAUUUACCUAAGCUCAGUAGUAAGGAAAGACCCCUCUUUACUCACACACAACAUGAAAACACUUAAGCUGAAAAAAAAAAAAAAAAAAGAGGCUAGAAGGAAAACCCAUAGAAACAGCCUCCGUAAAACAAUCCCUAUCUCCUACCCCAAGUGACUCUCCUGUUCCUUGGUAUCCUGGCACAUAGUCUUUACACAACCUUAACAUGGACUCACCUGAAAUGGUUUAAAUGUUCCAUAGAGUCUCCAUGGUCUUCUUUACUGUUCACAGGUGGUACCAGCAUCCAUCCAUCCAUCCAUCCAUCCAUCCAGUUAAUUCCACAAACAUUUUGCAGCAUCUAAAAUGUGCCUGCCCCUAGCGCAGGUGCUAGAGAGGGCAUGGGGAAAAGAGUGUGAACAAUGAAGGUCAAGUCUCUGCCCUCAGAGAGCUUACUUUCUAGCAUCAGAGGCAAAUUGCCCGGUGAAUAUGGAACUAUUGCUGGAUUAUGGGGGCAAGCAGAGGAAAAGAAAGAAAGAAACCAAGCAGAUUGUGCUUUAAGAAGGACAUCAACCAUCUCAAUAGAGGACAGAGGGAAAGUCCUUGAGUUAAGAUGCUCCUUUAAAAAAGGUCAGAGAAGGCAGGAGAGAUGGUGAGACCCAGGGAAGAGGGAGCUUUGCAAAGCCUUCCUUCUCCACCAGCUUUUGGAGGCAGCUCUUGCUUGCUGAAUGUUGGGUGCUUCCCAAGACUCUGGCUGAUGGGAGGAAUGACGGAUGACCCCUGAACAGGAAGUGUGGCUCACAAAUAUAUAUAUGUAUAUAUAUCUGAAAAUUUAGCCCAUAGUGUAUCUCUAACCCAUCCCUAUUUCUAAGUGGGUUAGUGUCCGAGAGAGAUCUCAAGCACAUGUCUUCAUUACUCAGAUGUAAAGAUCCUGCCACUCACUACGUUUAAGUUUCCAUGCAGGCUCUACUCCUCUCUGUUGCAUUUUCCACAAGCAGCUGGAGCCUGGGUCUUUCAGCAAGACAGCCCCUUACAGCUCACAUCAGGGCUUCUCCGAAGGUGGGGACCUGCUGCCUUAGAAAUACCUGUGGUGCUUGUUAAACAAGAUAGAUUCCUGGGCGCUGGUCCAGACUCAUGAAUCAGACCCUCCAGAGAGGGGAUCCAGAAAUCUGUUUCGCAAAGGUCCCCAGGUGUUCACAUAUGCUCUACAGUUUAAGAAUCCGCAGGAGUCAUCUGAAGUUAAUGAUGUACUAUAUGUUGGCUAAUUAAGUUACAAAAAUAAAUAAAUGAAAGAAUA